UGUGUAGGCGGUUGUUUAAGUUUGGUGUGAAAUCUCCCGGCUCAACUGGGAGGGUGCGCCGAAUACUGAAUGACUUGGAGUGCGGGAGAGGAAAGUGGAAUUCCUGGUGUAGCGGUGAAAUGCGUAGAUAUCAGGAGGAACACCGGUGGUGUAGACGGCUUUCUGGACCGUAACUGACGCUGAGACACGAAAGCGUGGGUAGCAAACA
rnacentral:rRNA from 1 species